ACUAAGCGUACACGGUGGAUGCCCUGGCAGUCAGAGGCGAUGAAGGACGUGCUAAUCUGCGAAAAGCGUCGGUAAGGUGAUAUGAACCGUUAUAACCGGCGAUGUCCGAAUGGGGAAACCCAGUGUGAUUCGUCACACUAUCGUUAACUGAAUACAUAGGUUAACGAGGCGAACCGGGGGAACUGAAACAUCUAAGUACCCCGAGGAAAAGAAAUCAACCGAGAUUCCCCCAGUAGCGGCGAGCGAACGGGGAGCAGCCCAGAGUCUGAAUCAGCUUGUGUGUUAGUGGAACGGUCUGGAAAGUCCGACGGUACAGGGUGAUAGUCCCGUACACCAAAAUGCACAGGUUGUGAACUCGAAGAGUAGGGCGGGACACGUGGUAUCCUGUCUGAAUAUGGGGGGACCAUCCUCCAAGGCUAAAUACUCCUGACUGACCGAUAGUGAACCAGUACCGUGAGGGAAAGGCGAAAAGAACCCCGGCGAGGGGAGUGAAAAAGAACCUGAAACCGUGUACGUACAAGCAGUGGGAGCACCUUCGGGUGUGACUGCGUACCUUUUGUAUAAUGGGUCAGCGACUUAUAUUCUGUAGCAAGGUUAACCGUAUAGGGGAGCCGCAGGGAAACCGAGUCUUAACUGGGCGUUAAGUUGCAGGGUAUAGACCCGAAACCCGGUGAUCUAGCCAUGGGCAGGUUGAAGGUUGGGUAACACUAACUGGAGGACCGAACCGACUAAUGUUGAAAAAUUAGCGGAUGACUUGUGGCUGGGGUGAAAGGCCAAUCAAACCGGGAGAUAGCUGGUUCUCCCCGAAAGCUAUUUAGGUAGCGCCUCGUGAACUCAUCUUCGGGGGUAGAGCACUGUUUCGGCUAGGGGGUCAUCCCGACUUACCAACCCGAUGCAAACUACGAAUACCGAAGAAUGUUAUCACGGGAGACACACGGCGGGUGCUAACGUCCGUCGUGAAGAGGGAAACAACCCAGACCGCCAGCUAAGGUCCCAAAGUCAUGGUUAAGUGGGAAACGAUGUGGGAAGGCACAGACAGCCAGGAUGUUGGCUUAGAAGCAGCCAUCAUUUAAAGAAAGCGUAAUAGCUCACUGGUCGAGUCGGCCUGCGCGGAAGAUGUAACGGGGCUAAACCAUGCACCGAAGCUGCGGCAGCGACACUAUGUGUUGUUGGGUAGGGGAGCGUUCUGUAAGCCUGCGAAGGUGUGCUGUGAGGCAUGCUGGAGGUAUCAGAAGUGCGAAUGCUGACAUAAGUAACGAUAAAGCGGGUGAAAAGCCCGCUCGCCGGAAGACCAAGGGUUCCUGUCCAACGUUAAUCGGGGCAGGGUGAGUCGACCCCUAAGGCGAGGCCGAAAGGCGUAGUCGAUGGGAAACAGGUUAAUAUUCCUGUACUUGGUGUUACUGCGAAGGGGGGACGGAGAAGGCUAUGUUAGCCGGGCGACGGUUGUCCCGGUUUAAGCAUGUAGGCUGAUUGUCCAGGCAAAUCCGGAUAAUCAAGGCUGAGGUGUGAUGACGAGGCACUACGGUGCUGAAGUAACAAAUGCCCUGCUUCCAGGAAAAGCCUCUAAGCAUCAGGUAACAUCAAAUCGUACCCCAAACCGACACAGGUGGUCAGGUAGAGAAUACCAAGGCGCUUGAGAGAACUCGGGUGAAGGAACUAGGCAAAAUGGUGCCGUAACUUCGGGAGAAGGCACGCUGGUGUGUAGGUGAAGUCCCUGCGGAUGGAGCUGAGACCAGUCGAAGAUACCAGCUGGCUGCAACUGUUUAUUAAAAACACAGCACUGUGCAAACACGAAAGUGGACGUAUACGGUGUGACGCCUGCCCGGUGCCGGAAGGUUAAUUGAUGGGGUUAUCCGUAAGGAGAAGCUCUUGAUCGAAGCCCCGGUAAACGGCGGCCGUAACUAUAACGGUCCUAAGGUAGCGAAAUUCCUUGUCGGGUAAGUUCCGACCUGCACGAAUGGCGUAAUGAUGGCUAGGCUGUCUCCACCCGAGACUCAGUGAAAUUGAACUCGCUGUGAAGAUGCAGUGUACCCGCGGCAAGACGGAAAGACCCCGUGAACCUUUACUAUAGCUUGACACUGAACAUUGAGCCUUGAUGUGUAGGAUAGGUGGGAGGCUUUGAAGCGUGGACGCCAGUCUGCGUGGAGCCAACCUUGAAAUACCACCCUUUAAUGUUUGAUGUUCUAACGUUGGCCCCUUACCGGGGUUGCGGACAGUGUCUGGUGGGUAGUUUGACUGGGGCGGUCUCCUCCCAAAGCGUAACGGAGGAGCACGAAGGUUAGCUAAUCCUGGUCGGACAUCAGGAGGUUAGUGCAAUGGCAUAAGCUAGCUUGACUGCGAGCGUGACGGCGCGAGCAGGUGCGAAAGCAGGUCAUAGUGAUCCGGUGGUUCUGAAUGGAAGGGCCAUCGCUCAACGGAUAAAAGGUACUCCGGGGAUAACAGGCUGAUACCGCCCAAGAGUUCAUAUCGACGGCGGUGUUUGGCACCUCGAUGUCGGCUCAUCACAUCCUGGGGCUGAAGUAGGUCCCAAGGGUAUGGCUGUUCGCCAUUUAAAGUGGUACGCGAGCUGGGUUUAGAACGUCGUGAGACAGUUCGGUCCCUAUCUGCCGUGGGCGCUGGAGAAUUGAGGGGGGCUGCUCCUAGUACGAGAGGACCGGAGUGGACGCAUCACUGGUGUUCGGGUUGUCAUGCCAAUGGCACUGCCCGGUAGCUAAAUGCGGAAGAGAUAAGUGCUGAAAGCAUCUAAGCACGAAACUUGCCCCGAGAUGAGUUCUCCCUGAGACUUUAAGUCUCCUGAAGGAACGUUGAAGACGACGACGUUGAUAGGCCGGGUGUGUAAGCGCAGCGAUGCGUUGAGCUAACCGGUACUAAUGAACCGUGAGGCUUAACC
rnacentral:rRNA from 1 species